GGCUAAUUCACAGGUCCUUCCAUUUAGAAGGACCUGAGAGGUAUACUGGAUAAAACUUCAGGUUCUACACAAGAAUAGUUAAGACACUCUGAAGAGUCAAAAUAAGGCAAAAUAUUAAAAAAAUUUUUCCUGGAACAACUGGAAAGCAACUAAAAGCAGGCAGAAAAUGGAGUGGGAGCCCUAAACCUAGAUGAAGAAAAUGGAACUGGACUUCCUCUCUGCCUGCUCUGAUUUUUGGAUGCUGCAGGUGAAGCACCUUACCUGUCCCAGCUUUACAUUCAGGCAUUAAAUGCUGGCAGUAAGCUCAUACCAGCCCUUGGAUAGGGCAGAGAUGAGAUACUGUUUGACUUUAACAGAGAAAUGAGAUCCUAGUGAAGACACUCUCGGGCACCAGAUAUGAACUAGCAUGGAAAUGGCCAAAUUCGACCUUCAAAUUCUGCUCUCUUUUGGAUUUCUUCUUCACAUCAGAUAACCAUCAAAAAGAAAGUAAACUUUCAAGGGAAUGAUUUGUUGGAUUAUGGUCUCAGAUUUCAAGAAAUAGGGCUUCUAGGGAAAAACAUCAGCAUGUGUGAUUUCAUGAGAGGAGGGGAAAAGGUGGGUCUAAGGCAGAACACCACCUCUGCUCAAAGAUGUUACUCAUCUUAUAUCACAUUUCAAUUCUUCCCUCAUCCUUCCUCCAGUCUUCAGAAAUGUGAAUUUUGGUCACUGUUGGCCUUGCCUCUUAUUGCAAAGAAAGUCUUGUCAUUUAGUGACUGGGAAACAGCCUGUUGUCUGAAUUGUAUUUAAAAUUAUUGUGCAACUGGGACCAUAAACAUGAAUGUAUAAAGGUUCACAGUCUUCCCUCUCUGUGACUGCUAGCUUGUCUCCAGGACUUCUGUGAAGCUAACCAGGAAAGUGAGUAGAAGGAUCUUGGAAUUGGAAGAUAAGAUACAGACUAGGAUUUUUUUUUUUCAAUUUUAUAAAGAAACAAAUUUAUUUAUUUUUGUGUUUUGUUGGGAGAGAGGGAGGAAAGAAACCAGAACCCUGAAUGCAAUGCAAGGAUGAGAAAGAGAUUUGGUGAGUUGAGCAAGUCUUUGAAAAGAACUUCAGAAUGGUGGGAAAUAGAAAGAAAGAUGUAGAAAUAAUUGUUAGGACGUCUCCUAGAUAUUCUUUUGACAUUCUUCAAGAGUCCUUGGUAAAUAUUUGAAUUACUUUCUGAUUAAUCUUGGUGUUCAAAGUUGUGUUUAUUUGAAUGUCACAUAAACUGGACCAUAUGGGUCAACAGGUUUAAAUUGACUUCUUUUAUCCAUAUAGAGAGAAAUCAAUAUUACAGGUAGGAGGAACCCAACUAAUCAGAAUUUUUUCUUAGCUAAUUUAACUUUCAUUUUCCCUGAGAACUCUUAAGAGAAAUAAAUAAAUGAAAGGCAAUUAUUUCUUACAAGAAAUUCUGUUAGAACACACACAUACGCAACCGUUACAGAAUAGAUACACGCUUCAACCUUCAAUACUUUCUAUAAACACAACUCUAAUCAGUAACAUGAACAUUCCACUGAAAUUUAAAAUGAUGGCCUGAAAUACUUUUUGAGUCGUGAUUUUUGUACAUACUAAAGAAAGAUAGCCAAAAGUGAUUUUUGGCAUAAGACCCAAUCCCUCUGGCCUGAGGUAUUGUAAUGAAAGGUAGUUUGUCGCAUACCUGUCUGGCUACCUAAACCCACUUCCCGCUUGCCCCAAGCACACUGUGCUGGCAGUGAGCCACACUUUUCUUUCUAAACAGGAGAAAUAGGUUAAAGACACAGCAUGCAAUUCUGAAGGGACCCUGGAUCAGUCACUUAAGGACACGUUUGGAAAAGAAAAUCUCACUUUGAUGCACCAAUCAUUUUUUACUGUUCCUUUUCUUUAAAAGAUGGGACUUUAUGAGCAAUACCUUAAGGAGAAGCACACUAAGAUUUCUCUCUACUCUGAGGAAACUCUAAAACAUUGAAGGGCAAAAUAACUAGAUUUUUCUUUCCCUUUGGAAACUUUUUCUCAAAAUGACCCAUUCCUACCAGGCCUUUGGGACUCCUCAGGUAUGUUUAUACUUCUCUAUUAAGACAAAGGGGCAGGCCCUCACACCCACAUAGCAUUGAUAGACAUUAAUGUUGUGGCCAGCUUUUUUUGUUUGGGCUUUUGUUUUUGUUUUAUCUCCUUUAACUUCUGUUAAGAAGAAAACCCUGAAUUCCAGCUUCCAUCAAUUGGCUGUCAUCCCAGGCAACACAAUUGGCAAAGCCCUGAGUCCUAAGACCUCCCCAAAACAGAGAUGCCGGGGACUGGAAACAGGUACCACUGAUUAUUUUAGCAGUGGAGGCCUUUUGUUGUCAUUUGCCACUGUUACUUACACAGUCGUGACUUUCAAGUUUCUCAUUUAAUCUUGUUUCCACUGAAGUUUUUAUCCUGAUUCUUUCCUCCUCUUCCCAGGCCCUGGCUUGUGACAUCUCUGCUAGGAUUGAUAUCAACACCAUGGUUGUGUUUAUGUCUCCCCCUGCAUGCCAGGCUCACUGAUGUGGUGAGUGGAGCUCUGGGAAGCCGAGCUGAGGAAGCUGAGUCAUCAGUCACCAUCUCUUGAUUCCCUGGUUCUGACCAAAAUGACAGAGGCUCCUCUCACUAAAGUGUACUGGGAGACCACAGCAAAAAAAAGGCAAGGGACUUCUCCAUUUGACUCUAACCACUGUAAAAAAGAUCACAUUUUCGUCAUAGCAGUAGGGAGAUGUUAGUGUGGAAAUCUCAAUGCAGCUUCCAUUCCAUUUUGGUUUUCAGGCCACAGCUUAAAUGACCCUUCCUAAAUGGGAAACCACUUUGAAAAUCUACUAAAGCUUUAUAUAGGCAUAAUCUGUGAUCCAGCAUUUUCUCUUCUGAAUAUAUAUAUGCAUAUAUACAAUAUAUUUAUAUCAUAUAUUCAUAUAGAAUACACAUAAUAUAUGUAUAAUAGAAAUCCAUUCAUAUGUUCACCAAAAGACAUGUACAGGAAUGUUCAUAG